UCUUCCGUAGUAUAUAGUGGUCAGCACGGGGGCCUGUCAACGCAUGCUCUCAGACGUCCGAAUCCCGGGUUCGAAUCCCGGCGGGAGAG